rnacentral:rRNA from 1 species
GAUGAACGCUGGCGGCGUGCCUAAUACAUGCAAGUCGAGCGAACGGACGAGAAGCUUGCUUCUCUGAUGUUAGCGGCGGACGGGUGAGUAACACGUGGAUAACCUACCUAUAAGACUGGGAUAACUUCGGGAAACCGUAGCUAAUACCGGAUAAUAUUUUGAACCGCAUGGUUCAAAAGUGAGAGACGGUCUUGCUGUCACUUAUAGAUGGAUCCGCGCUGCAUUAGCUAGUUGGUAAGGUAACGGCUUACCAAGGCAACGAUGCAUAGCCGACCUGAGAGGGUGAUCGGCCACACUGGAACUGAGACACGGUCCAGACUCCUACGGGAGGCAGCAGUAGGUAAUCUUCCGCAAUGGGCGAAAGCCUGACGGAGCAACGCCGCGUGAGUGAUGAAGGUCUUCGGAUCGUGAAGCUCUGUUAUGAGGGAAGAACAUAUGUGUACGUAACUGUGCACAUCUUGACGGUACCUAAUCAGAAAGCCACGGCUAACUACGUG